UACGUAGGGUGCAAGCGUUGUCCGGAAUUAUUGGGCGUAAAGAGCUCGUAGGCGGUUUGUCGCGUCUGCUGUGAAAACUCGGGGCUUAACCCCGGGCCUGCAGUGGGUACGGGCAGACUAGAGUGCGGUAGGGGAGACUGGAAUUCCUGGUGUAGCGGUGAAAUGCGCAGAUAUCAGGAGGAACACCGGUGGCGAAGGCGGUUCUCUGGGCCUUACCUGACGCUGAGGAGCGAAAGCAUGGGGAGCGAACAGG
rnacentral:rRNA from 1 species